CUGCGAUGAUGCUCAGCUCCAUCGGCCCUCCGUCUGCGCCUUCGGAUCCACCAGCUCUGUCUCCAUCAGUCGGCCCCCAGAUGUCGGCAGCCACACCAUCUACAUCUUGGCUCCUCCCUCCCUCGACUCCGCCGUGUAUUGUCAGCAUUGGGAUGCUCUGGGUCUGUGCCAUGUGCCAAACUCCAUCUAAGCCGCCAGGGCAUCAUCGUCAUCCUCCCACCACCAUCCCUUCACCACAUCCUCGUCCACCUCCAAAACCCCCUCCAUCCCUCCUUAUUCUGUUGCUUGAACUUUAUCAUCUUCAGUCUUUGCACACACAUCUAUUUACUUCUGCACAGUUAUUUUAACUCAUAAAAAUAAUUUAAUCAAUUUCAACUUUUUUAUAUAAGUUAUAAUAGAUUCAACUUGAUUUUUUAAGUCAGUUUAAUGUUAUUGAAAUUCAAGGAGACCAAUUUAAUUCAAUGAACUUAACAUUUUAAGUUCUAACUUAUUGGCACUAACCGGCCAGAUCUCUGAAUGGAUUAAUGCGCAAGAGUCAAAUUUGUACAUGAAAUUCAAUAUCAGAGUCCUUUCCACCAAGAAAAAACUUAUUCAGCAAAUCUAGACAUUAGACUCAUGUUUAAUACAUAUAGACAUCGCAGUGCAACAUCAAACAAGGAGACACGGGCAGAAUAAACAGCGAACUAACUAAAUCGCGGAGGAAUUUCAGAUGAACAACUCGUGAACUUGAACCUGUCUGUUGGGCUGGCGUGAAGAAGCAGCAAGCAUAUCAACGUGUUGUGGAUGAGCACACGUUUGUCUGCGAGUGAGACUUGAUGAAGGGCACACAUUGUUUGACUGGGAGUCUGAGACUUGAUGAAGGGCUGAGUUCGAUUGGUCUCCGGUCAUGGGCUGGAAGAUGUAGGAGCGAGGAAACGAGGAAGCAUUUGUCGCUGUGAUUGGAGCUGCAGAUCCACCAGCUCAUGGUGAGAUACUUCAUACACUCAAGAAGGGCAUGCAAGCUGGCCUCCUAAUAUGAAGACUACGAUGGUGCACUGCAGGACACCUUUCUCCUUUUAAAUGAUUAAAAAAAAGGACUGUAAUGGACAUGUUUUUUUCCAAGCUUGUCUCUGUGGUUAUUUCCA